rnacentral:lncRNA from 1 species
AUGACCUCCCGGCUACGCCACAAGAACAUGGCGAACACUCCGGAAUCACCUGUCGGGCCUGCCGGAACCACCUCUCAGACUUGCCAGAACCAUGUUCCGGACACGCCGGUACCACCUGCCGAGUAUGCCGGAACCACCUGAUCCACUACCCAGAACCACCUGCUGGAUACGCCAGAAUCACCUGCCGGCUAGUCCAGAACCACUUGGCAGACACUCCGUAACCAACUGCCGGGCAUGCCGGAACCACCUCUCAGAGGUGCCAGAACCGCAUGCCGGACACUCCGGAAUCAAGUGCCGGGCAUGCCGGAACCACCUCUCAGAGAGGCCAGAACCACAUGCCGGACACUCCCGAAUCACCUGCCUGGCAUGCCGGAACCAUCUCUCAGACAUGCCAGAACCGUGUGCCUGAGAUGCCGGAACCACACCCCGAACAGACGAAACCACCUGCCAGACCCGCCUGAACCACCUGCCAAGCACGCCGGAACCACCUACUCGACUCGCUGGAACCACCUACCUGACACGCUAAAAUCACCUGCCGGGUAUGCCACAACCACUUGGUGGACACUCCGGAAUCAUCUGCCGGACAUGCCAGAACCAGCUCUCAGACACACCAGAACCACAUGCCAGACACGCCGGAAGCACCUGCUGAGCAUGCCUGAGCCAAAUGCUCGACUUGCAAGAAGCACCUGCCAGACACGCCAAAAUCGCCUGCCGGGUACACCAGAACCAUGUGGCGGACACUCCGGAAUCACCUGUCGGGCAUGCCGGAACCAACUCUCCGACGUGCCAGAACCUCGUGCCGGUCACGCCAGAACCACCAGCCGGACACGCCGGAACCACCGGCUCAACUCGCCGGAACCACCGCCGGACAUGCAAAAUGACCUGCCGGCUACGCCAGAACCACUUGGCGGACACUCCGGAAUCACCUGUCGGGCAUGCCUGAACCGCCUCUCAGACUUGCCAGAACCAUGUUCCGGACACGCCGGUACCACCUGCCGAGUAUGCCGGAACCACCUGAUCCACUCCCCAGAACCACCAGCUGGACACGCCAGAAUCACCUGCCGACUACGCCAGAACCACUCGGCAGACACUCCGGAACCACCUGCCGGGCAUGCCGGAACCACCUCUCAGAGGUGCCAGAACCACAUGCCGAACACUCCGGAAUCACCUGCUGGGCAUGCCGGGAACCACCUCUCAGAGGUGCCAGAACCACAUGCCGGACACUCCCGAAUCACCUGCCGGGCAUGCCGGAACCAUCUCUCAGACGUGCAAGAACCCUU